GGAAAAGCCUGCAUUUAUUGAGCUCUUCCUGUGUGUCACCCACUGGGGCGGAACCUUUCACCCACAGGGUCCGAUUUAAUCCUUACGACAGCACUACUGUCAUCUCUAUUUUAGAGAUAAGAAAAUCGGUAGCUGUGCUCAUUCACAGCCUACAAGACCUCAUGCAACUACAACAAAAUAGAUCUUUUCUGUUUAUAUUUUCUGUCCCAACUGCACAGCGGCGUGGUUGGUAUCGGCUCAUCACCCUGCUAAUGAAGAUAAGAGUCUUCUCUCCUUGCUUGUACUCAACAGUGAGAGAUUAUCAGCUUUGUUCUGCUUCUGGAGCCUCCAUAAACACCAGAGUACAUUUUUUCUGCCAUUUACCCUGCACAGAACAUGGAGCUUCUUGGCCCCAACCAUGCAUGUGGAGGACAACAGACUCAACAAGACACCUGAACUCCGGUAUCACAGACAAAGUCUGAACAGUCACGGGUGUCCCAUCUGAAGCAGCAGGAGAAGUGGGCAGAGACAUAUGGCCGGGCGUGAGUUCCACACCAGCUUCGGGCCCUGGAGCGGUGACUUCACCCAUGUGUGCCUCGUGCUUGCCUGUCACCCGGGACAGUACGAGCGCCGCCCACGGGACAGUUGUGACAAUUAACGAGUUUGUUUCCUAACACAGGUUCAGUAAAUGUUACUUUUCUCUAGCCGCCCGUCUCUGGGACCCAGUUGUCCACAGCGGACGUAGUAGAUCUGCUCACUAAACAUUUGCUAUUUGAAUAAACACAUCUCUCAC
rnacentral:lncRNA from 1 species